GUUCCCUGCCUACAGGGAGCUUGCAGUCUAGAGGAAUUCACCUAAUGGCUUAGUUCAGUUCUUUACAGACCAUGGGUGUUCCAUUCAUAUCAUUAAUUGUUAACCUCUAGACUGGAAGCUCAUUGUGGGCAGGGAAU
rnacentral:pre_miRNA from 1 species